GAUGAACGCUGGCGGCGUGCCUAAUACAUGCAAGUCGAGCGAAUGGAUUAAGAGCUUGCUCUUAUGAAGUUAGUGGCGGACGGGUGAGUAACACGUGGGUAACCUGCCCAUAAGACUGGGAUAACUCCGGGAAACCGGGGCUAAUACCGGAUAACAUUUUGAACCGCAUGGUUCGAAAUUGAAAGGCGGCUUCGGCUGUCACUGAUGGAUGGACCCGCGUCGCAUUAGCGAGUUGGUGAGGUAACGGCACACCAAGGCAACGAUGCGUAGCCGACCUGAGAGGGUGAUCGGCCACACUGGGACUGAGACACGGCCCAGACUCCUACGGGAGGCAGCAGUAGGGAAUCUUCCGCAAUGGACGAAAGUCUGACGGAGCAACGCCGCGUGAGUGAUGAAGGCUUUCGGGUCGUAAAACUCUGUUGUUAGGGAAGAACAAGUGCUAGUUGAAUAAGCUGGCACCUUGACGGUACCUAACCAGAAAGCCACGGCUAACUACGUGCCAGCAGCCGCCGUAA
rnacentral:rRNA from 1 species